AUCCAGUACACCCGGAGCAAGGGCACCGGCGCAGACAAUAGCGACAUGGCCGCCUCCCGCCCCGCGGCGGCUGGCUCGGGGCGAGGUGAAGGGCUGCUCCUGCUGCCGAAUCCCAUGGGCAUCGCUCUGCCUGGGCUCGACCCCUGCCACCUCGGGCAUCCGUCAGGCUUCCUCCUCUCGCGGUCGCGGCUCUGGCAGUUGCAGAUGCAAUUUAGGAACACAGAAUAGCUAGAUUGGAAAGACCUGUAAGAUCAUCAAGUCCAACCUCUACCCCAGGAUUGCCAGCGCCACCACUAAACAAUGUCACUAAGGGCCUCAUCUGCCCUGUUCGUGAACACUUCCAGGGAUAGUGACAUUUCUCCAAAUGCAGCUUUAUGCUCAAAGCCUCCCUGAAUCUUAUACAAGCCUGAAUUUUAUACAAGCCUGAUGAACACAUUCUUUACAGUGAUACCUACUAUGUAAUGUGGUUUACAUCUAAAGGUUUGUCAAGUUUUAAAUUCUAAGCCUUAUUUUUAAGACUUGAACUACUUGGAACAGAGUACUUCCUACCUACCAGUCCUUCUGGUAGACAGCAGUUCUCCACUACAGGAAAUAGAGCGCUUAGCCCUGACAUUGUGGUUUUCAUGCACAGAACUGCUGGGUUUUGUAAUGGCAGUAGAGCCUCAGUAUCAAUAGAAAACAAAAAAAAUAGUCAUUUCACAAGGGGAGAGGUUGACCUCUAUAUUCAAUUUAAGGGCCUUCGGUAACAUUUUGAGGAUGAUGGGGAGUCAUACGAAGUUUGGAAGAGCAUUUGGAAUGUAAUCUCUUUAAAAAAAUAAACAAACAUGCUUUCUAGAAAAAAUAAAAUUAACAAUAUACUUUUUCAACGUCAGAUCAGAUUGCUCAGUAGAACUGACUUUCUGUAUCCUGUCGGAAAUAUACAUCAAGUAAAACCAUAGUGUGCAGCUACUCCAGGACAAACCCAACCAUUUAAUUGUAUGUAUCUCUGGUGAAUUACAGGGUUUUUUAUUAACACAUGAAAUUAUGCAAAGAUAAAUAAGAAACAGAGCAUCAUGAAGUCACAUCAAGGAAGGAUUCAUUCUUAAUGUAUAUCAUUCUCAGCCAUGCACGGAGUGGUAGAAAGAGCAUCACAUAAAAAGACAUGAAAGAAGAAGCACUGACAUUUAGUAAAGGUGAAUUAUGCUUUCAACUUAUCUCAGUUAAAAUCAAAUAUUGACUCCUUUAUGUUCUCUUACAACCUUUUCUCACAACUAGAGCAUUAAUGAAAGCACUUUGCAACAUUAAACUGUGGAACUUGCCUACAGUGUAUUUACACGAUCUGUAUAUAAAUAUAUUAUGCUUUCUCAGGGUUUCUAGUAUAAUAAAAUCAAUUGAUGUGUAUUCAA